rnacentral:rRNA from 1 species
UACGGGGGGGGCAAGCGUUGUUCGGAUUCACUGGGCGUAAAGGGUGCGCAGGCGGUUGGGUGUGUCAGAUGUGAAAUCCCGAGGCUCAACCUCGGAACUGCGUCUGAAACUACUCGACUAGAGUACUGGAGAGGGUAACGGAAUUCACGGUGUAGCAGUGAAAUGCGUAGAUAUCGUGAGGAACACCAGAGGCGAAGGCGGUUACCUGGACAGUUACUGACGCUCAGGCACGAAAGCGUGGGUAGCAAACAGG